CUGAGUUGACAAUGUAGCUAGGUUAGCUAGCUAGCUACCAUGCAUCUUUCUCUUUCGCUAAACAUGAAUAAACACGACGUUGUUCUCCAUAAACAUUGGCCUUCUCUGGAGAAAGGUGUCAGACUCAGCAGAGGGAGGCAGCUAACGCUAAAGGAGGAACUCUAAGGAUGAAUUUAAAACAUCAGCGGGCUACCAGUCUUGCCAAGGAAGACAUGAAAACACAUCCAGAGUAUGUACACACUCUUCUUUUCACUGAAGGAAGAGGAUUCGUUACUGGCGUCUUGAGGCUUCUACCUUGACAUGUGCGGUGUCUUGUAAGGGAUUGGGAUGGGCCGAACAUGGUACCUUCAAAGACCUUGGAAGGCUUUUGAUGAGUCCACUUCCUCUUCCUCAUGGAUCAACAGGACUGUGGCCUUUACUUGCUCCGAGGAAGGCAAAGUCCUUCCUUGAACUUGCAAUCAGCUCCCGGAGGUGAGAUUGAUCCAAGUAAAGGACUUGGGCUCAAAACAAUCACAUCACUACAUAUAACACGUGGUUUCAGUGUGUGACUUUUGAUGCUUUGAUUUCAAGGUACUUGGCUCUCUGUGAAAUUAAGACAGUGGUAUUAUCUUUCAUUAAAAUAGAUUCCAUUGCAAUUUAUUUUCAUCCUUAUAAGCCAUCUGGAUAUUGCACGUCUUAGAAUGUAAUUGUGGGAAAUUACAUAUAAGCAUCAGGUUAAUCAUUUAAGACUAGCUAAUUCAGAGUCAGUAGUGUUGAUGAUUCUGGCAAAAGCAUAUGGUGCUUCAUUUCUAAUAACACU